rnacentral:lncRNA from 1 species
UUAAAGGGGGGGUUGAUUGCAUCAUGUGUCAUCUUCAGUUUCCCUCUGAGUGGUCCUGCUUCACACCAUCAGUUCAGCGUUGAGGAGAAUGAGACUUCGUAUUCUGGCAAGAUCCACCACCACCACCGCCGCCACACACACAGCCAGGACACGCUUUGCCACACACACACCAAGAACAGUGAGUACUUUCAGUCUGAAGAAGUGCUGUCCAGACAAUGUCUGUCCUCAAAUCUGUGAUGAGUCUAGUAGGUACACUGAUGCUCUUUUCAUCAGCACGCUGUGUUUUGUUUAAGGGGUCGACUCAUCCAAAUCCCAAACCAUACUUUGUUACUUAAAGGAGAACUUCUAAUUCGGGUCUAUCUUAAAACAACAGUCAGAUUGAUUUAAGUGUUUUGUUUCAGAAAUUCUGUCUUUGUUACUAAUAGGUCAUAUACAUACUAACAUGAACACUGUUUAUACGUAUAAUAAUAGGCAGAUUUCUGUUAAACUAUUUGUGCUAUAACACUGUUAUUGCUGAAAUACCACUGGGAUUCUGUGGGAACAGAUGUUUGUGUGAUUUGGGUGAAUUGCCCAUUCUGUCACAGUCUCUUGUCCGAUUAUAUCUGUCUCUUUCUGUAGUGCAUUUUCUCAUUACCGUUUGUGUGUACUAGAACGUCGAGCUCCUCCCUGCCCGGCAGAUGAGUUGGACAUUUCUCAGUGUCUGCUCAAAGCUCUGGAGUCAGACAGCGAUUCUCCUCCUUGGCCCUCGCUGCAUGUCAACAUGGACAACAAGGGAGAGGAGAAGCAACUGUCUGAAAAGUCUCUGCACCCUCCUGCCUCUCCAGCAAUGCUCCCUGACCACCUCAAGUGUAACAUCCUCAAGGCCCAGAUGGAGGCAGCGUUCAGGAAGGAAGCUCCACCAACGCCUCGAGGGAAGAGCUCGAGUGAGACCCUCACUGAAAGGUAUCAGAGCUCGUCCCAAGACUCUGCUGCAUCCAGCCUGACUGCAGACAAAACUCCCCAUUGGCAAGACCGCAACCCCACGCCAGAGAGGCUGCAGCCCAAGGCCAACACAAGCAGCAACCGCAGAAAACGACUGGUCAGACAGUUCAGCUUUAACCAUGAGGAUGAGGACAAUCUCCCAGAAGCUCUUGCAGCCAUCUCCUCCCAGAGUAUGGCAAAGUCUGGCUCCAGCAGCUCAUUGGACAAACAGAUACAGCCGUCUAUAUACCCACAGGUGGAUAAUAUGCCAGCACUGGAGCUGGGUAGCCCCUGCUGUCCCUCUCCUUCGCCUUCCCCUCACCUCUCCCCUUCUUACUACUGUAGCUCUGUCCCUCACGUGGUCCCUUACCUUACCGCCCAUAUUGACAGUGGAGAGGAAAUGAGGGUGGACAGAGAGAAGAUACUAAGAGCCCUCCUGAUGACAGAGCUCUGAGACCUUGACCUUUGACGCCUGUGACAUCGCCGCCAGACAAAACAAAACCGGUGUAAACUGGAAGCAUGAAAUCAAGUUUUAAUGUCACUGGCUGCAGUCAAAAUGUGUACAUUUGCAUAAUACAUUCAGCAGUUAUAGAUACACAUUUGCAUAAAGGCAAUUGUUAUAUUUGCUUAAUUGUUAUUUUAGAAGAAUGGUUCUUUAUAUUUAUCAAACUGUAUAAACUUUAAGUGAGAGAGAAUGAAAUGGACUCAUUCACACACAGAACAGACAAGCUACAGUGUGACCGAUGCUGCCUGCAUGAUAAAUAUGUUACAAGAUUAACUGUUUAUCUGAUUUUAUUUGGGGGGUUAUGUUUAGAUUUUAUGUGAUUUCGUCAUCACUGUGUCCAUGUUGAUGCCUAAACUGUGUUUCAGACAGCGACUGUUGAAGCGUCAUGCUCUUCACAAUAAGCACCACUGAACCAAAAGUCACUUGAACUUCAAAUGAUUUGUUGAAAAUGUAAAAAUACAGUUUUGAGUAAUAUACCGAUACUGUAACAGAACAGGAGUUGUAAACGCUUACUUCUUUAUUGUAUUCAUUCUAAAGUCAGAUAUACGUUUUGACAUGUCAAAACGACAGAGGGUGCAGCAGGUGUAGAGACUGGACUGUGAGUUUGUGCAGCUGCAGGCUCAGUGUGUCCACUAGAAGGAGACAUAUCUGCAUUUACUGCUCAUGUAGCAGCUGAACACACUGAUCCUGUGUUACAAGUUGUCACGAGAAACAGAUCAUGAAUCACUUCUAUUUUUUCUAUUUCAUUACAGGUCAAAUGCAAACCUCAUCUCACAGGUUCUUCUUCUUGGGAAUUAGGCAUCAGUAAGCAUAACCCUGCUGUCCGACAACUCUUUUAAGUCCUUUCCUUUAUUUUUUCCACAACAACAUUUGAGGCAGCAUAUGAUCUGCUGUUCCACUGUAUGUGUUGAGUUGUUCGUGCCCUCAGUUGGAUCUUAAUAAAAGCGACAUCAUCAGUUUGACAACUCUG